UCCUGGCUCAGAGCGAACGUUAGCGGCGGGCCUAACACAUGCAAGUCGAGCGAGAAAAGGGCUUCGGCCCUGAGUAAAGCGGCGGACGGGUGAGUAACACGUAGGUAAUCUUCCCUUGAGCGGGGGACAACGAGCCGAAAGGCUCGCUAAUACCGCAUAAGUUCCCAGGGUCCUCGGACCUUGGGAGGAAAGCUAGGUAGCAAUAUCCGGCACUCGAGGAGGAGCCUGCGUAGCAUCAGCUAGUUGGUGGGGUAAUGGCCUACCAAGGCGAAGACGCUUAGCUGGUCUGAGAGGAUGAUCAGCCACACUGAAACUGAGACACGGUUCAGACUCCUACGGGAGGCAGCAGUGGGGAAUAUUGGACAAUGGGCGCAAGCCUGAUCCAGCCACGCCGCGUGAGUGAUGAAGGCCUUCGGGUCGUAAAGCUCUGUGGGGAGGGACGAACCGCCGGAGGUUAAUAGCUUCCGGCAUGACGGUACCUCCUUAGCAAGCACCGGCUAACUUCGUGCCAGCAGCCGCGGUAA
rnacentral:rRNA from 1 species